rnacentral:rRNA from 1 species
ACGUAGGGGGCAAGCGUUAUCCGGAUUUACUGGGUGUAAAGGGAGCGUAGACGGCAUAGCAAGUCUGAAGUGAAAGCCCAAGGCUCAACCAUGGGACUGCUUUGGAAACUGUUAAGCUAGAGUGCUGGAGAGGUAAGCGGAAUUCCUAGUGUAGCGGUGAAAUGCGUAGAUAUUAGGAAGAACACCAGUGGCGAAGGCGGCUUACUGGACAGUAACUGACGUUGAGGCUCGAAAGCGUGGGGAGCAAA